rnacentral:lncRNA from 1 species
CUAAAUGCAAUUCUAGAAAACCAAAUUAUAGAACCUUAGGGUUAAACCACAAGGGUUAGCUAAUAUGACAAGAAUGCCUUUAAAAUCACAAGUUAAUUGUCCAAAAUGCCCUUUUUUAUUCUUUAUUAAGCUAACUUGUAGAUCUAUCCAUAUAUUGAGUUGGUGACCAACUUAUUUUGACAUUGUGCUUAAAGAAACUUCAGCAAAUCAGUUCAUGUAUCAGCCAUGUGCAAUAUAACAUAAUAUAUAUAGCUUCAAGAGAGAGAAAAAUUACUUAUUACGCUCAUUUGAUCACCACACUCAUCCAAGACCCUCUCUCUCCAACCUAAGAAAUAUAGUAGUAUAUCAGCUCCCAAAUCAAGCCCCACGAACUCCAUUAACAGAUCAGUAGCCAAGAAUCAAAGCUUGUUCAUAGAAGGUAUAAACCCUAACCUAGAAUCUGAUCAUGCUAGAUGUGUUAGAUGUUAGUUUUUAUGUGUUAAACAUGUUGAAUAUAGUGUUAUUAAGUGAUCUGGGUUGAUAGAUGUUAGAUCCAUAACAUCUAUAGACUCAAAUCUAGUGUUUUUCAAAAUCUGGAAAAAGUUGAAAAAAUUUAUGUGUUUUUGUUGUUUAAAUGUUUGAUCUUGUUGUAUGCUGUGAGAUCUGUGUUCUGGAACUUGUAGCAGGACCAGAUCAUGCAUAGAUUGUAUGAUAUUCGUGGUCAAAGUGCGUUGACCACUCAUGGAAAACUGUUCUGGAAAACCAAGAAAUUUUCAAGAUUUUCUGACAAGCAACUUUGGAGCUUCUGAUUUUGCUGAUCUGUUAUAGUUUGGCCAUGUUGUUGUAUUCCAUUUGUAGACUGACAUGUAGGUUACAUGAUCAUGCAUCUAUAACACUUAGAUCGUGCAUAAAAUAAAAGAUAUUGUCGGUCAAAGUAGGAUUGACCAACUGUUUUGCCUCAAAUCUGAAAAACCCAUAUUUCUUCAUAAGUCAUUUUUCUGACAAGGUUUGACUUGCUUAAAUCUUUUGCUUUUGUUGUUAUCAGAAUGAUUUGAUGAUACAAAGUUGUUCUUCGACAUCUCUGCUAUAAUUAUAAACCUUUAGAUCACACUAAGCAGAACCAGGAUGCAAGUUAUAAGGAUCGAAAGGAAGGUACCUUGACUGUUCUUCAUUUCUGAGAAACCCAGAAAUUGAAGAACAGUCCUGACAAGGAUUUUAUGGGCCAGAACUCACUAUUACGAUGAUAUAUGGACAUAAAACUUGUUGGUGAUUGUAG